rnacentral:rRNA from 1 species
UACAGAGGGGGCGAGCGUUAUUCGGAAUUAUUGGGCGUAAAGGGCGCGUAGGCGGCUGCGCAAGUCUCGGGUGAAAUCCCUCGGCUCAACCGAGGAACUGCCCUGGAAACUGCGCGGCUCGAGGCCGGGAGAGGAUGGUGGAAUUCCCAGUGUAGCGGUGAAAUGCGUAGAUAUUGGGAGGAACACCGGUGGCGAAGGCGGCCAUCUGGACCGUUUCUGACGCUGAGGCGCGAAAGCGUGGGGAGCAAACAGG